AGCAGAUGCAGUUUGGAGGUUUUUUGAGAUGGUGUGGAGGAGAACUUCCUUUUGGUAUGUACAUCAGCUGAGGAGGAAGGUUAUCCUCAUACUCUUCACAAGCCACAAUGAUCCUGAGCUCGCUCCCUGAUCCUUGCAAGCUGCAACAGUCCACAGUCCCAGCAGCCAGAACUCUGGAAGCCACUGAGGGUCAGAGUAAGGGCAGAGCUCCCUGGGGAGCCAUUUCCAGGUCUUCUGUUCCCUGAGUCCUGCUUCUCUGUUGGAGACCUCUGCCUCUGUAGCAGCGGUGAAGAGAAAGGCUCAGCUCCCAGCAAUGCAGGACUUCAUCUCUGCUGCAGGAAUACACACACCUGAGAGAGCAGAGCAGCUGCCAGGCAGAGGCCUCCAAACACACACCUGAGAGAGCAGAGCGGCCACCUGGCAGAAGCCUCCCACUCAGGAAACCUGUAUCUCCUGCUCAUUCAAACAGCUGCAGAGAAGACUGGAUCACUACCUCAGUGAUGACAGAACGCCUGCCAUGGUUUCUGGCCACCCGUCCUCAGGAUGUCGGGCACACGUGUCUCCCUCAAGCUCUCUGCUGUAGAUGGAGUAGAACUGUGUUACACCAGAAAACAACAGAACGCACAACUAAAAUUAAAACCUCCGGGAGAAAGAGAACGACUGCCGCCCGGCCAGCGGCCAGCGUUAC
ensembl:lncRNA